rnacentral:rRNA from 1 species
GGGCCCGCACAAGCGGUGGAGCAUGUGGUUUAAUUCGAUGAUACGCGAGGAACCUUACCAGGGCUUAAAUGUAGUAUGACCGGUCUAGAAAUAGGCCUUCCCUUCGGGGCAGAUUACAAGGUGCUGCAUGGUUGUCGUCAGCUCGUGUCGUGAGGUGUUAGGUUAAGUCCUGCAACGAGCGCAACCCCUAUUCUUAGUUGCCAGCGGUUCGGCCGGGGACUCUAAGAAGACUGCCAGCGCAAGCUGAGAGGAAGGUGGGGAUGACGUCAAAUCAUCACGGCCCUUACGUCCUGGGCUACACACGUGCUACAAUGGUACAGACAGAGGGCAGCCACCUGGCGACAGGGAGCGAAUCCCAAAACCCUAUCUCAGUUCGGAUCGGAGUCUGCAACUCGACUCCGUGAAGUUGGAAUCGCUAGUAAUCG